UACAGAGGUCUCAAGCGUUGUUCGGAUUCAUUGGGCGUAAAGGGUGCGUAGGUGGCGCCGUAAGUCAGGUGUGAAAUUUCGGAGCUCAACUCCGAAACUGCAUUUGAUACUGCGGUGCUUGAGGACUGGAGAGGAGACUGGAAUUCACGGUGUAGCAGUGAAAUGCGUAGAUAUCGUGAGGAAGACCAGUGGCGAAGGCGGGUCUCUGGACAGUUCCUGACACUGAGGCACGAAGGCCAGGGGAGCAAAACGGG
rnacentral:rRNA from 1 species